rnacentral:rRNA from 1 species
AUGAGGGGAGAACAAGAGAAAGGGAAGACACCUGCAACUGCUGCUAGACCCACACCUACACCAAGAGGAGCAAGGACUGCUGCGGCCCUUGUUACUCCUGCUCCUACAUUUGAGUUGGAGAAAAUUUCUCUCAACAAAGAACAAGGUGCUCCACCUGCCAAAAGCUACUUGGAUGUAGCUAAGAAGAGGCCUGCUGAGAAUAUCUCUGGUCCUUUGCUGGCUCAAUUUGAAGAGGCAGUAGAUGGUGGAGAGAAGGAGAAGGACAAGAUCUUGGAGCUUCCACCAAAUGGCAAGAGCAAGUGGGGCCCUGUUAUUGCUACAAGAGUUAGUGCCUGGAUUCAGAGAAGUGGGGUACACAGCCUAAAGAAAGCUCAAGAGAUGAAGCAAAUCCAAAAUCUGGAAGUGCCUAGAGGUGAGCUGCAGGACAUAUGGAGGAGGGAAGAAAUUAAAGCCAGACAGAGAUCUAGGGAAAGAGAAGUGCUGGAGGAGGAGCUUAAUACAGGUUACUUCCAAGCUAUUGCAAAUCAAAAAAGAAGAAAAAAACAGAUUGCAAUGCUGGAAGGAGAGAAUGGACCUAUGGAAGACCCCAAAGGUGAUAUGGAGACAGGUGGCCGUGGAGCUAGCAGCGUGGGAGAUUUUGUUCUCAGGCGAUGCAAAGACUCAGAUUGCUACCAUGGUGAGAAGCCUCGAGAAGCUUGCCAGAGAUCCUCCUAUGCUGAUGUGGCCAGACCCCGGUUGAUCCUUUCAAGAUGCGCAUGGGGCAUGAACUAA